rnacentral:lncRNA from 1 species
GUGACUCUAUUCCAUUGUUUGAUGCUCUAACUCUUCACAUCUUCUAUAUCACAAGACAUACUUUGUACUACUCUUCACAUCUUCUCAUUAACGACAAAUACAUGAUUAUCAUCGCAACUACCAGUCAAGAGAAAUGAAUGGAAGAUGGGAAGUACCUGUCAGCAUCUCCCUUACUCCCAAUAUUAUGCUUCCACUCUCUGUUUCCUUCCCUUCUCCGGAUUCUUUUCAUCAAACUAACAGCAUGAAGGAGAAAAUCAACCAAGCAUACCAGUCAAGAGAAACAAAAUAUAAAAACAUGAAUAAACAUUAUCUCACUUCAUUGCAAAUCUGGG